AGCAAGUUGGCAUAGAGGUUUGAGUGUUUCACUACGACUCUGGAGCCCAGGGUUCAAUUCCCAGAUUGGUUA